AUACGUAGGGGGCGAGCGUUGUCCGGAAUGAUUGGGCGUAAAGGGCGCGUAGGCGGCGCGGUAAGUCUGGAGUGAAAGUCCUGCUUUCAAGGUGGGAAUUGCUUUGGAUACUGCCGCGCUUGAGUGCAGGAGAGGUUAUCGGAAUUCCCGGUGUAGCGGUGAAAUGCGUAGAGAUCGGGAGGAACACCAGUGGCGAAGGCGGGUAACUGGACUGCAACUGACGCUGAGGCGCGAAAGUGUGGGGAGCAAACAGGAUUAGAUACCCUGGUAGUCCACACUGUAAACGAUGAAUGCUAGGUGUAAGAGGUAUCGACCCCUUUUGUGCCGGAGUCAACACAAUAAGCAUUCCGCCUGGGGAGUACGGCCGCAAGGUUGAAACUCAAAUGAAUCGACGGGG
rnacentral:rRNA from 1 species